UGAGGGAAACGCCCGGUUACAUUCCGAACCCGGAAGCUAAGCCUCACAGCGCCGAUGGUACUGCAGGGGGGACCCUGUGGGAGAGUAGGAC
rnacentral:rRNA from 1 species